CACGCCUUCACAUACACUAAACGGAGAAUGCUCGAAAUGCGUUUUCUACAUGAAUUAUUGUCUUUCUUAAUCAAUCUUAAGGCGAAUAGUCGCGAUUUACGCUCGUUACAUUUUCAUAAAUACGGAUUUCUUUGAAGCGAUUGCGGAAAACGUCGGAUUUCAAACGAAAAAAGGUUGGCAUUAGUCGAAGUUUUCCGCCGUAAGAGGUCACGUCACUCAACGAACCCUGGAGCCAUGUAAUUUAUGGAAUCUGCAUUCGCGCAAAGAUGAAGUUGUGAAACCCGGAUAUUCCGUCGGAUACCGCCGGGAAGGACGGCGUGGUCGCACACGUCGCACUGGAACACCGGGGCGUAACGUCACUGCGUGGAGGGACCCCAGCUCCUCACCACAAUGGACCCCCAGCGAAACAUCUGCUCACAAGGUGAAAAUCAGCGUAGAAUCCCCCGGACACGCUCCACUCCUCCAUACUCUGGCAAUUCCUGCACUAUAAAUCCUAAUUAGCCACAAUUCAGUAAUUGCAAUUUGUUACGAUACUAUUUUUCAAUUUCAAGGCCGCAGCCCUGCAGAUCACAACGGAGGCGUCCGGCUAAACGGAACGGCAUGGGACCACAUGCGAGAUGUAAAACCUCAGCCCAACAUUACCGUGAAAAAUGAACUUGAGGUUGCUUUUUUAAAUUCAGACGAGUACGCCGAGCGUAUCGCGUCAGGCUGUUCCUCCAUCUUGUGUGUAAUUAGGAUUUUCCUGCCGGAUUUUGGAGGGAAGCGGUGUUCCAUCGGAGGAACAAGCCCUCGGAGCCUCGGAGCUUCACGCUGACUUCCCGCACCUCCUGCCCUUUAUGUGGAACGUGGGAUGUUUCCACCCCCCACUUGCUGCCAGGUCUCCGCCAGCAUCAACUCACCCCAAUUGACCCACAGAACCAGGCCGGAACAGAGCGCUGGGGUCCGGGCAAGCGGCACAAGGAGUUAUAAGGCUUGGGGGGGGCGGCCCGUCUGUCUGGUCGGGACCGGGACGCGGUAUCAGACCUCGGGGGGCCCCAAACAGUGCUGGGACUAGGACCAAGUAUUGUUUAUGGGUGCACUGUAAGCGCCCAUGCCCCCCCCUUUUCCGCCUGAGUGAAAUCAUGGUAUCUGCAGGAUGUCCGUCCCACGGUGGUGAUACCCGGAUCCUGCGGUCGCCCCCAGUCCUGUACUGGGCUGGCCUCCACAGACCACUGCAGCUCCUCAGAAUCACUCUGAGCCAAUCAGCGCUUGAGAUAACGCAGCCCCUGCAGCUGGCUGCCCGGCCUUUGAAAACCCCAGGGCGACACCCCCCCCCCACUCUCUUAUCUCCUCCAACUUGAAAAGCAGUAUUGAUCCUGGAAGAGCUAAGAUAACAGUAUGGAUGAUACUGCCCAGUGAGAAUGACAGCUACGUAAACUGUGGAGGGCGCCGUCCCAUUCAUCUGCCAGCGGAGAGAGACUACUGGGAUUGUUAUCCUGAGCGUGGGGGGGGGAUAACACUCAGAGUCCUUAUCAGGGGGCUCAUGGACCUCAUUUGCAAUACUCACGGGCCAAUACUCAUCUGAAACGCGUCAAGAUCCUUUGCUUAAUAUACAUUUUCUUUGUUGCACAGGUAAAAAUAACAUAGAUAAAUUAAUGAAACAGUCUGUAAAUUCACCCUGAAUCAGUGUGGAAUAGAAGAGCUGCUUGAUAACUGUCAGAUAACUGUUAGUCGUUUUUUUUUUUGUAUGGAAGAUGAAAAUACAAAAAAAUGUCCUACUUCAAAUUAACUACACGGAAGUGAUUGGCUGGAAAACCCUGAAGCUCU